AUAUCAAUAAGCGGAGGAAAAGAAACUAACAAGGAUUCCCCUAGUAACUGCGAGUGAAGCGGGAAAAGCUCAAAUUUAAAAUCUGGUGGUCUCUGGCCAUCCGAGUUGUAAUCUAGAGAAGUGCUAUCCGUGCUGGACCGUGUACAAGUUUCCUGGAACGGAGCGUCAUAGAGGGUGAGAAUCCCGUCUCUGACACGGACUACCAGUGCAUUGUGAUGCGCUCUCAAAGAGUCGAGUUGUUUGGGAAUGCAGCUCUAAAUGGGUGGUAAAUUCCAUCUAAAGCUAAAUAUUGGCGAGAGACCGAUAGCGAACAAGUACCGUGAGGGAAAGAUGAAAAGAACUUUGGAAAGAGAGUUAAACAGUAC
rnacentral:rRNA from 1 species